UUCAAUACCCAUUGUUCUUUAUAGAUAAAAUCUUUAGAUAAAUGGGCAAAAGUAGAUUGGCUAGUCUCGUUUUGUGGCCUUUGUUACUCGAGCAAUUAAGUCCGUAGGGGGAUUUCAAAACCUAGUGCCCUAAGACCGUUUGGUUUGGGAGUCACUGACCUAAAGCUCGCUACAUGGGUAACAUUGUUUGCCUAAGAAAACGGACAAAAUAAAGUCAAUGCAAAAAAAAAAAAGAAAAAAGAAAGAAAAAAAAAAAGGGAAAAAAAAAAGAGAAGAAUAAGAGUUUGUGAAGUUUGGCUAGAUAUUUGUUUCGAUAGAGAUUGGGUCAGUUCAAAAUUGGUUGAAAAAGAGAAAGUGUUCUUAGACGAUUAGGAUCCAUCAAAGGCCUUAAAUUACUUACACUCCUUGGAUUUCUAGUAAAUCUUUGUGUCGAUGCAAGUAGAUUAGAGACAACUGUAUCUUGAUUAUUAGUAGAUGAGUCUUUAAGUCGUAUUUUCCUUAAAAACGCUUUUUGUUAACACCAACGAAAUUAGAGUAGAGUCGAGUAGACACUUGCUAGAAUGUCUCGAAGAUUUUAUGGGUAUAUCUUCUGUAAACCCUUAGGAGACAAAACUCCUCUUGUAGAGAUCGUCUACGAGUUUAACGGGUUGGUGAACCUAAAAUCACCCGUCACGCCUACGAAAAGGAGCCUAGGAAUUGCAUUUAGUUUUCUUAGUUUAUUUCUUUUCUUUUGAUUUUUACUCGAGGACGAGCAAAAGAUAGGUAUGGGGAAGUUUGAUUAGUCCAUAUUUUUGCAAAUUUAAGUGCCUAUUUUUUGUUUAUUUUCGUAGUAUUAAUCGCUUAUUUAUUUUAUUUCAGGAAAUUGUAGAUAAAUAAAGAAGGAAGAGAAAAUGCAAGAAAA
rnacentral:lncRNA from 1 species